rnacentral:rRNA from 1 species
UACAGAGGGUGCGAGCGUUGUUCGGAAUCACUGGGCGUAAAGCGCACGUAGGCGGAUUGUUAAGUCGGGGGUGAAAUCCUGAGGCUCAACCUCAGAACUGCCUUCGAUACUGGCGAUCUUGAGUCCGGAAGAGGUUGGUGGAACAGCUAGUGUAGAGGUGAAAUUCGUAGAUAUUAGCUAGAACACCAGUGGCGAAGGCGGCCAACUGGUCCGGAACUGACGCUGAGGUGCGAAAGCGUGGGGAGCAAACAGG